AUUGAACGCUGGCGGCAUGCCUUACACAUGCAAGUCGAACGGCAGCACGGGAGCUUGCUCCUGGUGGCGAGUGGCGAACGGGUGAGUAAUACAUCGGAACGUACCCUGAAGUGGGGGAUAACGUAGCGAAAGUUACGCUAAUACCGCAUAUUCUGUGAGCAGGAAAGAGGGGGAUCGCAGGACCUCUUGCUUUAGGAGCGGCCGAUGUCGGAUUAGCUAGUUGGUGAGGUAAAGGCUCACCAAGACGACGAUCCGUAGCGGGUCUGAGAGGAUGAUCCGCCACACUGGGACUGAGACACGGCCCAGACUCCUACGGGGAGCAGCAGGUAGGGGUAAUUUUGGGAACAAGUGGGGCGACAACGCC
rnacentral:rRNA from 1 species